rnacentral:tRNA from 1 species
GCCGGGGUGGCGGAACUGGCAGACGCAGCGGACUUAAAAUCCGCUGGAGCGCGAGCUCCAUACCGGUUCGAUUCCGGUCCCCGGCA